rnacentral:rRNA from 1 species
UACGUAGGGUCCGAGCGUUAAUCGGAAUUACUGGGCGUAAAGCGUGCGCAGGCGGUUUUGUAAGCCAGAUGUGAAAUCCCCCGGGCUUAACUUGGGAACUGCAUUUGGGACUGCAAGGCUGGAGUACGGCAGAGGGAGGUGGGAAUUCCACGUGUAGCAGUGAAAUGCGUAGAGAUGUGGAGGAACACCGAUGGCGAAGGCAGCCUCCUGGGCUAGUACUGACGCUCAUGCACGAAAGCGUGGGGAGCAAACAGG